rnacentral:tRNA from 1 species
AUCCGUUGUAGUCUAGUUGGUCAGGAUAUUCGGCUCUCACCCGAAAGACCCGGGUUCAAGUCCCGGCAACGGAAAUUA